rnacentral:rRNA from 1 species
GACGGAGGGGGCAAGCGUUGUCCGGAAUCACUGGGCGUAAAGCGCGUGUAGGUGGUCCGGUGCGUCGGCGCUGAAAGCGCCAGGCUUAACCUGGCGAGGCGUGCCGAUACGACCGGACUUGAGGCAGGGAGAGGGUGGCGGAAUUCCGGGUGUAGUGGUGAAAUGCGUAGAGAUCCGGAGGAACGCCAGAGACGAAGGUGGCCACCUGGCCCUCGCCUGACACUGAGACGCGACAGCGUGGGGAGCAAACCGGAUUAGAUACCCGGGUAGUCCACGCCGUAAACGAUGCCAGCUCGUUCUCUGUCCUGUUUUAAAGCAGGGUGGGGGGCUUAGCUCACGCGGUAAGCUGGCCGCCUGGGAACUACGAGCGCAAGCUUAAA